rnacentral:rRNA from 1 species
AUUGAACGCUGGCGGCAGGCCUAACACAUGCAAGUCGAGCGGAUGAAGGGAGCUUGCUCCUGGAUUCAGCGGCGGACGGGUGAGUAAUGCCUAGGAAUCUGCCUGGUAGUGGGGGAUAACGUCCGGACACGGGCGCUAAUACCGCAUACGUCCUGAGGGAGAAAGUGGGGGAUCUUCGGACCUCACGCUCUCAGAUGAGCCGAGGUCGGAUUAGCUAGUUGGUGGGGUAAAGGCCUACCAAGGCGACGAUCCGUAACUGGUCUGAGAGGAUGAUCAGUCACACUGGAACUGAGACACGGUCCAGACUCCUACGGGAGGCAGCAGUGGGGAAUAUUGGACAAUGGGCGAAAGCCUGAUCCAGCCAUACCGCGUGUGUGAAGAAGGUCUUCGGAUUGUAAAGCACUUUAGGUGGGGAGGAAGAGCAGUAAGUUAAUACCUUGCUGUUUUGACGGUACCAACAGAAUAAGCACCGGCUAACUUCGUG